UAGGGAAUCUUCCACAAUGGACGCAAGUCUGAUGGAGCAACGCCGCGUGAGUGAAGAAGGUUUUCGGAUCGUAAAGCUCUGUUGUUGGUGAAGAAGGACAGGGAUAGUAACUGGUUCUUGUUUGACGGUAAUCAACCAGAAAGUCACGGCUAACUACGUGCCAGCAGCCGCGGUAAUACGUAGGUGGCAAGCGUUGUCCGGAUUUAUUGGGCGUAAAGCGAACGCAGGCGGGAGAAUAAGUCAGCUGUGAAAGCCCUCAGCUUAACUGGGGAACUGCAGCUGAAACUAUUUUUCUUGAGUGCAGAAGAGGAGAGUGGAACUCCAUGUGUAGCGGUGGAAUGCGUAGAUAUAUGGAAGAACACCAGUGGCGAAGGCGGCUCUCUGGUCUGUAACUGACGCUGAGGUUCGAAAGCAUGGGUAGCGAACA
rnacentral:rRNA from 1 species